AUGCCACGAUGAGUGAAGUAGAGUCUGACCUGGUAUUGCCAUUCUUUGGUGUUGCCUUUGACUAGGGUAUGAUCGCUUCAUCUUCUCUCUGAGAUG